rnacentral:rRNA from 1 species
CCUACGGGAGGCAGCAGUGAGGAAUAUUGGUCAAUGGGCGCGAGCCUGAACCAGCCAAGUCGCGUGAGGGAAGAAGGUCCUGUGUAUCGUAAACCUCUUUUGUCGGGGAACAAAGGACGCCACUAGUCCCGUUCUGAGAGUACCCGAAGAAAAAGCAUCGGCUAACUCCGUGCCAGCAGCCGCGGUAAUACGGAGGAUGCGAGCGUUAUCCGGAUUUAUUGGGUUUAAAGGGUGCGCAGGCGGACUAUCAAGUCAGCGGUAAAAUAGCGGGGCUCAACCUCGUCGAGCCGUUGAAACUGGUGUGCUGGAGUGAGUGAGAAGUAUGCGGAAUGCGUGGUGUAGCGGUGAAAUGCAUAGAUAUCGCGCAGAACCCCGAUUGCGAAGGCAGCAUACCGGCGCUCAACUGACGCUCAGGCACGAAAGUGUGGGUAUCGAACAGUAUUAGAUACCCUAGUAGUC